rnacentral:rRNA from 1 species
CGCUGGGCGGCGUGCCUAACACAUGCAAGUCGAACGGGGUACCUUCGGGUGCUUAGUGGCGGACGGGUGAGUAACGCGUGAGCAACCUGCCUAUCAGAGGGGAAUAACGGCUGGAAACGGUCGCUAAUACCGCAUAAUAUACACUUUAGGCAUCUUUAGUGUAUCAAAGAUUUUAUCGCUGAAAGAUGGGCUCGCGUCUGAUUAGCUAGUUGGUGAGGUAAUGGCUCACCAAGGCGACGAUCAGUAGCCGGACUGAGAGGUUGAACGGCCACAUUGGGACUGAGACNCGGCCCAGACUCCUACGGGAGGCAGCAGUGGGGAAUAUUGCACAAUGGGCGCAAGCCUGAUGCAGCAACGCCGCGUGAGGGAAGACGGUUUUCGGAUUGUAAACCUUUGUCUUUGGUGAAGAAGAAAGUGACGGUAACCAAGGAGGAAGCCACGGCUAACUACGUG